AACGAACGCUGGCGGCAGGCUUAACACAUGCAAGUCGAACGCCCCGCAAGGGGAGUGGCAGACGGGUGAGUAACGCGUGGGAACAUACCCUUUCCUGCGGAAUAGCUCUGGGAAACUGGAAUUAAUACCGCAUACGCCCUACGGGGGAAAGAUUUAUCGGGGAAGGAUUGGCCCGCGUUGGAUUAGCUAGUUGGUGGGGUAAAGGCCUACCAAGGCGACGAUCCAUAGCUGGUCUGAGGGGAUGAUCAGCCACAUUGGGACUGAGACACGGCCCAAACUCCUACGGGAGGCAGCAGUGGGGAAUAUUGGACAAUGGGCGCAAGCCUGAUCCAGCCAUGCCGCGUGAGUGAUGAAGGCCUUAGGGUUGUAAAGCUCUUUCACCGAUGAAGAUAAUGACGGUAGUCGGAGAAGAAGCCCCGGCUAACUUCGUGCCAGCAGCCGCCGCAGUUA
rnacentral:rRNA from 1 species